rnacentral:rRNA from 1 species
GUGGGGAAUCUUGCGCAAUGGGCGAAAGCCUGACGCAGCCAUGCCGCGUGAAUGAUGAAGGUCUUAGGAUUGUAAAAUUCUUUCACCGGGGACGAUAAUGCGGUUACCCGGAGAAGAAGCCCCGGCUAACUUCGUGCCAGCAGCGGCGGUAAAAGGAAGGGGGCAAGCGUUGCUGGGAAUUACUGGGGGUAAAGGGCGCGUAGGCGGACAGUUUAGUCAGAGGUGAAAGCCCAGGGCUCAACCUUGGAAUUGCCUUUGAUACUGGCUGUCUUGAGUACGGGAGAGGUGAGUGGAACUCCGAGUGUAGAGGUGAAAUUCGUAGAUAUUCGGAAGAACACCAGUGGCGAAGGCGACUCACUGGCCCGUUACUGACGCUGAGGCGCGAAAGCGUGGGGAGCAAACAGGAUUAGAAACCCUAGUAGUCC